UCUGUGACAUGAGUUUGAUAACGGAUUGUGAAAUUUUCUGCAGUCUAAAGUUUCACGUUGUCUGCACAUGUACUUUCUUUGGAGACACCAUUUGUCUCCCAACAAAUCGGAAAAUGAUCAAGAUAGUGACUCUGAUUGAUUCACAUAUUGUAUUGACAUAUGACUGUUGACAUUGCUUUUUAGUCUCCAAUAUUUCAGUGAGUUAUGCUUUGGAAAUGACAAUAAAUUUUUAUUACCCAACCCUUGAGUUGUUUUGUUUUUCAUUUACCCAACCUUUCACUCACUCAAAAUUUUGUUUACCCAACCCUUUUCUCUUCGGUGCCACCCCCCGCCAUAAAUAAUGAC